rnacentral:piRNA from 1 species
UUCACCGUUGACUAGCCCCACACAU